UAGGGAAUUUUCGUUCAAUGGGCGCAAGCCUGAACGAGCAAUGCCGCGUGAACGAGGAAGGUCUUCGGAUCGUAAAGUUCUGUUGAAGGGGAAAAAGAGCGGAGAGAGGAAAUGGUCUCCGAUUGAUAUUACCCUUCGAGGAAGUCACGGCUAA
rnacentral:rRNA from 1 species